rnacentral:misc_RNA from 1 species
AAGACUGAACUGAAAUAGAGAUAAAUCCCCAUCAACAGCUUGAGCUUUGAGCCUCCAAUUCUCCUGAAAUUGUCAACUUCCUUCGGCUAAAACUGACUAGAGGACCAAGCAGUCUCACUUUUUGGAGUCAAUAGAAGAUGGAAGAGAAUUAGUUGCAGCAGAGGAAAGGCAGAGUGAAUGCAGAUAGUCAGUCAAACAGGGUUAGGACUUGGCUUGUUAUUGAUGAAGAUGACUUCUCAAUACCAGCUACCAUGUUAGAUAUGCUUUCUUGUGAUGGUGAAGUUCUACUUGACCCAAUGGAUAGCUAGAUUCCAUGAAGAAAGGAAAUGAAGCAGACCGAUGAAAGAAAAAGAACUUUGAAAAGUAAUUGUCAAGUUAAUUUGAUGGAUAGUUUAUGAUUGCAAUUGAUGUACAGGAGAGAGAGUUAUUUCACUUAUGGGGACCCUGUGUAGCAGUUUGGUGGGGUAAAACAAAUCAAAUGCCAUUUAGUCGGAUGAAACUAAUUGUUGGGACAUGAAGAUGAUUCCAUUCAAUUGCAGAUGGAUGCAGAAGCCUCUUAUCUGUUUUGUCAUGUUUAAUGCUCCUGCAAAUUUUAUCCAAAUUCCAGUUUUUGACCUUCUGUUUACUUGUCCAUAGCCCAUCUGUUGUGAACGCUUAGCUUGAAGUUUGAACUUGUAUUUGAAGUUCCUUGUAGUUCAAUUUGAAUUUUUGUUUCAUGUGAUUCUGGUUUGGAAAAACUGACGCCCAUUUUUGCUCUUGGGAGAACUUGUGCAGCUCCUGAAUGCUUUGAAUGUAACGGAACUUGGCAAUGACAAAACAGAACAAAU